rnacentral:rRNA from 1 species
GAUUAACGCUGGCGGCGUGCAUAACACAUGCAAGUCGAACGAGGAAACGUAGUAGACUUCUUCGGAAAGACACGAAGCGGAGUAGUGGCGAACGGGUGAGUAACGCGUGAGUAACCUGCCUUACACAAGGGGAUAGCCAUUGGACACGAAGAAUAAUACCCUAUAAAACCAUAAAAGCACAUGCUAGAAUGGUCAAAGUGAUAGCGGGGUAAGAUGGACUUGCGUCUGAUUAGCUAGUUGGGGAGAUAAAAGCUCACCAAGGCGACGAUCAGUAGCCGGCUUGAGGGAUUGGACCGCCACAUUGGGACUGGGACCCGGCCCGGACUCCUGCGGGAGGCAGCAGUGGGGAAUUUUGCACACUGGGGGAAACCCUGAUGCAGCGACGCCGCGUGAUUUAGAAGGCCUUCGGGUUGUAAAAAUCUUUUGUAUAGGAAGAAAAUGACAGUACUAUACGAAUAAGGUCCGGCUAAUUACGUG